AUAGCCGACUUCCAUGUACCGGGGCUCCACGAGGCCGGGCCGGGAAACGAUGAUGUAGAAAUACCGCAGCGAGUGCGAGCCUGGGUGUGGCGCAUGCUGUCUGUCCCGCACUCACACUCGCAGUGAUGACACAGGAGCUGAUGAGAGCAGGAAGAUGGAUGUGCAUGGUGUGGACGGUGGAUCUGAACACUGAGUGGACCCUGAGCACCUCAGCCCUAUGCAGUGUGGACAGUGGAUCUGAACACUGAGUGGACCCUGAGCACCUCAGCCCUGUGCAGUGUGGACAGUGGAUCUGAACACUGAGUGGACCCUGAGCACCUCAGCCCUGUGCAGUGUGGACAGUGGAGCUGAACACUGAGUGGACCCUGAGCACCUCAGCCCUGUGCAGUGUGGACAGUGGAUCUGAACACUGAGUGGACCCUGAGUACUUCAGCUCUGGACAGGGGUGGACACAGGGCAGAGGAUGAUUCUUGUGCCAGGUGGCAUAGACUGGCAGGACAGAGAUUUCAUUAGGCAGAAAGGUCAAAAUCUAAUAUGCAAUGUCACUUUUAUCUGUCAUGUGUGACUUGAUAUUUUCAGACCUCAGCUAAACAAAGGUCACUAAAACUGUGGAAAGUGCCCUCCACAGAGGCACAGGGUUUAUCCAGGAUACAGACUUCUGGGAUUCACAAUCACGAGGACCAGAAUCCUGACCCAUCUUCCUGAAGUCACUCCAUGCUGUCACUUUUAACCACUAUGACUUUCAUUGUUUUCCUAUUAUUUCUGUCCCCAGCCCCUGCCUUCUGCAGAGGCCAUGACCUCAAACCACACAACUCAGCCCUUGGUGAUGACUGCAAACUCUUCCUGCCCUGACUCCUGCCGUGCAGGCUGUGCUUUCUCAGCCACUGCACUUAUGGUUCAAGUUAACAAUUUCCUCCAUACACAGCUUUCCUCUUUUUAUUAUUGCUGUUUUAUGUACGUAUUUAUUCAUUCAUUUUUGAGGUAAGGUCUCACUAAGUAACCUUACCUGACCUGGAACUGUCUAUGAAGACUAAGCUGGCCUGCAAACUACUUGCUAUUGCCUCCCAAGGGCUGGCAUUAAAGGCAUGCAUCACCACACCUAUUCCCAAACCCAUUCUCUGUGGAACCCCUGGCAUGGUGAACUUGUGACUUCCUGCAUUCUCCUGACAGCAUGUACUAAAGUCCUAUCUUCAUGCCUUCUUGCCGGUGGUGAAAAAGGUCUUGCGGAAGGCAGGCUUUUGAACAAACUCCUAUUUUGUAUUAAGGUCACAGGAAAGUCCACUCUGUGGGCACUUUCAUCAUGCAAGCCCACACUUCUAUUAGAUAAAAAGAACCCCCCUCUGACUCUCCAAUUCCAGGGCCACAUACAGUGCCUCAGGCAAGUGCCCUUGUCAUGUCUGAGAAAUCUCUAAUAAACAGUGUCCAUUCAAUCCCA